rnacentral:rRNA from 1 species
GACGAACGCUGGCGGCGUGCCUAAUACAUGCAAGUAGAACGCACAGUUUAUACCGUAGCUUGCUACACCAUAAACUGUGAGUUGCGAACGGGUGUGUAACGCGUAGGUAACCUGCCUGGUAGCGGGGGAUAACUACUGGAAACGAUAGCUAAUACCGCAUAAUAUUGAUUAUUGCAUGAUAAUUGAUUGAAAGAUGCUAUUGCAUCACUACCAGAUGGACCUGCGUUGUAUUAGCUAGUAGGUGAGGUAACGGCUCACCUAGGCGACGAUACAUAGCCGACCUGAGAGGGUGAUCGGCCACACUGGGACUGAGACACGGCCCAGACUCCUACGGGAGGCAGCAGUAGGGAAUCUUCGGCAAUGGACGAAAGUCUGACCGAGCAACGCCGCGUGAGUGAAGAAGGUUUUCGGAUCGUAAAGCUCUGUUGUAAGAGAAGAACGGGUGUGAGAGUGGAAAGUUCACACUGUGACGGUAUCUUACCAGAAAGGGACGGCUAACUACGUG